CCUACAAGCCAAAGGAUUCUCACUUUCUAUCUCUCUCUCUAAAAUUCUCUCUUAUUCUCACACACACGUACAAAUGCAAACGUUUUUUCUUUUUUCAGUGGCAUUUGUUUCCCUCUCUCUUCCUCUCUCUCUCUCUCUCUCUCUCUCUCACACAGAAAAACCUAAUUCCAUUUUUCCCGUAUGGUAGAUCGAUUUCCUUCGAUUUGGCUAUUCGGAUGGAAAAUUUCUCGAAUCUCGAGGCUUCGUCUGCCCUUACAGUAGAGUCACUCCCAAUAACCAAAAAUCUUGGUGAUGGAGUAUACUCUGUUUCAACAUGUAAACAAGGUGCACUUGAAGGAGUUGUUAUUGCAACUGGAGUACAUAAAUUAUUUGAAAAGGCAGUUCAUCUUGUGGAAACUACUACAAUCGAUGGACAUUUUUAGCGGGUAAUUUCAAUAUAUUAUUUUGGAUGAAAGUUUCACUUAGAAUCUCAAAGGCUGGUAAAAUGUUUAGAGCUGUGAUAUUUCUAAACAGUUUCAUCUUUUUUGCUUGGAGGUAAUGGGGUAAUGAUAGGUAACAAUGUGAAAGAGUUUUGCACUUGUUUUGUGAGAAUCUGUCAAUGUUUGGGUAUUUAAUGAGUUACCAUUUGC